rnacentral:tRNA from 1 species
GGUGCGGUGGCAGAACGGCCAUGCACGGGGCCUCGAAAUCCUCGCAAGCCGGUUCGACUCCGGUCCGCACCUCCA